rnacentral:rRNA from 1 species
AGUUAAGUAUAUUUGAGAUACAUAAUCAAAAGUUUUAUAAAUCAAAACAUUAUUAAAAUCAGUAAAGGUGAUUAAAAAUUAUUAAAUUUCUCUAAUUUUAAGUACUGUGAAGGAAAAUAAAUAACUAGAACAAAAAAAGAAUCUAAUUCUGUACCUUUUGCAUCAUGGUUUAACUAGAUUUUAAUUGGAUAAACAAUUUCUCGAAAUUUAGUGAGCUAUUUUUAACCCUUAUUUUAGUAAUCUAGGACUAAUUGUGGCAGAAAUUUUCCUAGAGUUAAAAAUAGAAAUGAAAUUUUAUUCGCAUUAAAUGAUAGCUAGUUCUUUCUAAAAGGUAUUUAAGUACUUUAGAUUAAUUUUUCUUUCUUGGCAGAGCCAUCAGUAAAUAAAAUUUAAUCGAAUUAGGUUCCUGAGGAUAAGCUCAGAAACUUUAUUAUUAUAUUUGCAUUUAAUUUAAGUUUAAAUUUAAGCUUGAAAGUAGCUAUAAUCUGUUGAUUUUGUUAUAAUUCAUUACUUUAAAAUAAAAUAUAAUUAAUUUGCUAAUUAUUAAGAAAGAUCUCUCUAGAAUUCAGCAUGAGUGGUAUUAAUGUUAAAAUGAGUAUUUUUAAUUUAUAUUAAAUUUGAAACAGUAUAAUUUCAAAAUUUAUUUAUAUGUAUAUUUAGAAAAUUAUAAAAAGGAACUCGGCAAAUAUAGUAUUCUACCUGUUUAUUAAAAACAUGGCUCCUUGUAAUGUAGCAGAUAGGGAGUCGGACCUGCCCAGUGAGAAUUCUUUAACGGCCGCGGUACUCUGACCGUGCAAAGGUAGCAUAAUCAUUUGCCUUAUAAUUGAAGGCUAGUAUGAAUGGUUUGAUGAGAAUACAGCUGUCUCUUUAUAAUUUUACAGAACUUUAUUUUAAGGUGAAGAAGCCUUAGUUAAAUUAAUAGACAAGAAGACCCUAUCGAGCUUUAAAGAAAUUAGUAGAAACUAAUUAAUAGUUAUAAAAAUUUAACUACUAAAAAUUUUAGUUGGGGCGACUGAGGAACAAAAAAAGCUUCCUUUAGAAGUAUAUAAACAUUCAAGUAUUGAUCCAGAAUUUUUGAUUAAAGGAAUUAGUUACCGUAGGGAUAACAGCAUUAUCUUUUUUAAGAGCUCUUAUCGAAAAAAAGGUUUGUGACCUCGAUGUUGGACCAGAAUAUCCUAAAGAUGCAGAAGUCUUUAAGGGUUGGUCUGUUCGACCAUUAAAAUUCUACGUGAUCUGAGUUUAGACCGGCGUGAGCCAGGUCAGUUUCUAUCUUUAAUUUCUAAAAUAAGUUUAGUACGAAAGGACCAGCUUAUUACAUUAAUUUGUUUUUAAUGAAUAAAUAUAAAGAAAAAUUAAAUCCAU